CAGGUGGAGCCGCUGCAGGUGCAGAUCUUGGAGAUAGUAGCACAUAUUCAGAUGAGAACUUUGAAGGCCAAAGUAGAGAAGGGUUGCAUGGG
rnacentral:miRNA from 1 species